rnacentral:misc_RNA from 1 species
GAUGAAGAACGCAGCGAAAUGCGAUACGUAAUGUGAAUUGCAAAUUCAGUGAAUCAUCGAGUCUUUGAACGCACAUUGCGCCCCCUGGUAUUCCGGGGGGCAUGCCUGUCCGAGCGUCAUUGCUGCCCUCAAGCACGGCUUGUGUGUUGGGCCCCGUCCUCCGAUCCCGGGGGACGGGCCCGAAAGGCAGCGGCGGCACCGCGUCCGGUCCUCGAGCGUAUGGGCUUUGUCACCCGCUCUGUAGGCCCGGCCGGCGCUUGCCGAUCAACCCAAAUUUUUAUCCAGGUUGACCUCGGAUCAGGUAGGGAUACCCGCUGAACUUAAGCAUAUCAAUAAGCGGAGGA